rnacentral:rRNA from 1 species
CGGACGGGUGAGUAAUGUCUGGGAAACUGCCUGAUGGAGGGGGGUAACUACUGGAAACGGUAGCUAAUACCGCAUAACGUCGCAAGACCAAAGAGGGGGACCUUCGGGCCUCUUGCCAUCAGAUGUGCCCAGAUGGGAUUAGCUAGUAGGUGGGGUAACGGCUCACCUAGGCGACGAUCCCUAGCUGGUCUGAGAGGAUGACCAGCCACACUGGAACUGAGACACGGUCCAG